rnacentral:lncRNA from 1 species
AGCGGCGUGACCACGCGUGCUCUCUCAGUCGCGCCCGAAGCCGACCGUAGCGACGUCGGGUGCCGUGCGCGCGUGUGUUGAGUGGCGGCAGCGCAGACGGGCGCGGCCGCCGGAGCCCCGACGCUCGGUGGCGGGCGACGGUGGCGCCGCCCGCCGGCUACCACCCUCAGUUUCGGGCAAGAUGGGCGCACCUCGCCGGGCAGUAGCUUAGUCUCUACCUACAAGACAACACACACACUAAAUGUUUCCUAUAGUAACAAUUAACCAAUUGUACAUUAAUCUUAUUUAAAGGGAACAUACACGGUGGGGGGGGAGAGAGAAAGAAAGACACUCACACGCUCCGUACUACACGCAAGCUCUAUUUUUGUAAUAACGCGCCGUAAAUUAAAAAAAAAAAAGUAGUAUGUGCUCAACACCCCGCGAGGCAGCGACCGCGGUGUAAUCCGUACGACGACCGUUGAGAGAUAAAGAAGGAAGGAGGGAAGAUUUCCGCGUUCGACCAUCGUGAAGCAAGUGGACAGUCGAGUGGUGUGGAGAAUACGCCGCGCGGGAAAAAGCGCGAAGAGAAAACAACAAGCGAGGAGGUAAAGAAGAAGAAGAAGAACGAGAAAAAACCGCGCCGCGGCGCAGAGUGCUGAAGAAAGAGGAGCGGCCGCUUCGUUGUGUGUGCGUAUAUGUGUGUUUUUCGUGCGCGUGUGUGCCCCGUGUGACCAGCGACCGAGUCAGUAGUAGUAGUAAAAGUAGUAGUAACCGUAGUCAUCGCCGCGGGUGAUUCCGUCGUCGCAACGGCAACGUCGGCGUCGAGGGGAAGACGGUGCAGAAGGGAAACGCCAUCGGGAACGAUCGUCGUGCCCGCCGAUCCGCGACGAUUUCGUGCAGACUCCGCGACGACGCUUGGCGACGACAGUGGCGGUCGGGGCAGCAAACGGCAGCGCGCUUGAAACGAGUAAGCGACCGAUAAGCGGCGUGGCGCGGCGCGGCGCGGCGUGCAAUUCUGCACUUCGUCGGUGCAGAUUCGCGGUCGGUCGGUCGGUCGGUCGCUCGCGGGCGCCGUUAGUCUCUACGUUUCGUGGCGCGGGGCGGCGCAGCGCGGCGUGCGCUCUUUCUCUCUCUCUUUCUCUCUCUCUCCCUCGUUUCUUUUCCUCCUCUCUCUCGAGGGGAAACCCCUCGUCCGUCGGGUGUAUGCAGUGCGUGCAUGCGUGGCGUGCGUGCAUUCGUUCUAUCCGUUUGUCGUUCGAUACGUGUGUAGAAUUAACGAGAGAAAAGUCGACGUCUCCGUUCGUCCAGCGACGAGGAAAAGGUGCGCGAGCAACGCGAGAGAGUGUAGCACGACCGAAGGAGCGACCGGCCGGCGGUGGUGCGUGCUGUGCGUUGUCCCAUCAGUGUCGCCGGUGAGCGACGACGAGGCUCGUCGCACGGUGUUGCAGUGCGGCAAGUAGUGACGACGUCGUCGGCCGCGGAGGAGCGGACGGGGACGUAACGUGCGAAGGAAGCGCGCCGACGAACGAGAGGAGGAGAAGCGGCGGCAGCGGCGGCGGCGACGGCUGUGAGGGAGGAGGUAAAAAGGGAGGAGAAGGAGGAGGAGGUGAAGGAACCAGAGUGGCGGCGCGAAAGCGACCGGCGACGGCGGCUGCUGACGGUGGUUUUUAGGCUGCGCAGUGUCGCGCCGGCAUAUUUUGUUAUUGUUAUUAUCAACAUUCAUCAUCAUCGUCGUCGUCGUUGUGACGGCGGCUGUGUAGCUGCUCCGCUGCUGUUGUGUGCGUGGCUGUGACCGUCCGCCAUCCGGCGACGAGCGGCGGUGACGGAUUCCUUCAUUGCCUACUACAGCAACACCCACCACCCCGGGGGGGCCGCGACCAUCAUGUCCGUGAGAAUGGAAAACGUGGCCGCGCGGAAGAUCAAUUACAAGAUGAUGGUGAGUACACGUUAUCCGCGCUCUCGUCUCUUUGUAUGCCUAUCUCUUUUUCUCUGCGUGUCUCUUUCCGUCUCUUUCUCUAUCCUUCGCGAUCCUCUCUCAGCCGCAAUCGACGGCGGCGACGACGGCGGGUGCGCAGUGCGCGUGCAACUCGCCGCUUACUUCGCGCAGCUCCGUCGUGCGCGCGCGAGCGCGUGCUAACGUGGCGCGCGACGACGACGACGAGUUCUCUACUUCUCUCUCUCUCUCUCCUCUCUCUCUCUCUCUCUCUCUCUCUCUCUCUCUCUCUCUCUCUCUCUCACUCUCUCACUCUCACUGCUCCGUAUAUGUUCACGCUUUGCAUUGUCCUUCCUCCUCUUUCUUUUUCCCCCCUCGUUAUCGCCUCCCGAUAUUUCACGAUUUGCGACAAUUUUGCCUCUCUGUCACACAUGUGUAAUUUUCCGUGCAUUUCUUUCCCGGAAGUUUAAGGAGGAUUUUUCUUUCCUCGUGAAGGUCGACGAUGCUGAAGAUAUCCGUAUUUUCUCGCUAUUUGCAUCUUUGUCCUCCCAAAGGACUCGGUAUCACGAUUUAUUGUUCGAUUACCUUGGUAUCUGUUCCCGUUUUUUCGUUUCGAAAUAGCGGCUUUUUUUUCUCUCUAACCGAGUUUUCUCGGCAGACGGAAUAGGGAAUCGAACCCGGACUUGAUGGACGAUUGCUCUGUGUCAUCGACCGUUCGCGGACUACCCGGUUUUUCACGAUUCACGUCUACUUUCGAAGUGGACCGACCUUUGAUCUCGAUUUGACUGGCGCUCUUUAUCCUUCUCUAAUUCUUAGAGCUGUAGAACAGCUAAAGAAUCAAAAGUUAAAACGAGAUUAAAGUUAAUCUACAUCGGUGACGAUGGACAUUAGUCGGACUACCUGGGUCACCGAUGGACUGCUGUGCUUUUCGAAGGGGUCUUUGGGCUUUAAAAAUCCAAAAAAAAAAAAAAAAAA